rnacentral:rRNA from 1 species
UACGUAGGGGGCAAGCGUUGUCCGGAAUCAUUGGGCGUAAAGAGCGUGUAGGCGGCUCGAUAAGUCUGCUGUGAAAGUCCAGGGCUCAACCCUGGAAGGCCGGUGGAAACUGUCGGGCUAGAGUCCGGAAGAGGCGAGUGGAAUUCCCGGUGUAGCGGUGAAAUGCGCAGAUAUCGGGAGGAACACCAAUGGCGAAGGCGGCUUGCUGGGCCUUACCUGACGCUGAGGAGCGAAAGCGUGGGGAGCGAACAGG